CCUACGGGGGGCAGCAGUAGGGAAUCUUCCGCAAUGGACGAAAGUCUGACGGAGCAACGCCGCGUGAGUGAUGAAGGUUUUCGGAUCGUAAAGCUCUGUUGUUAGGGAAGAACAAGUACCGUUCGAAUAGGGCGGUACCUUGACGGUACCUAACCAGAAAGCCACGGCUAACUACGUGCCAGCAGCCGCGGUAAUACGUAGGUGGCAAGCGUUGUCCGGAAUUAUUGGGCGUAAAGGGCUCGCAGGCGGUUUCUUAAGUCUGAUGUGAAAGCCCCCGGCUCAACCGGGGAGGGUCAUUGGAAACUGGGGAACUUGAGUGCAGAAGAGGAGAGUGGAAUUCCACGUGUAGCGGUGAAAUGCGUAGAGAUGUGGAGGAACACCAGUGGCGAAGGCGACUCUCUGGUCUGUAACUGACGCUG
rnacentral:rRNA from 1 species